CAGCCAUAACGGGUCUAGCUCGGGGUUGGUGGAGUUGCUGUUCUUGGCCAAGAUCACCAUUGGGAAAGACCCUCGGCGCCUAGACCGUCCAGAAACCAUCGUCACUUGACGUUCACGGCCAGUAAAACAUAAUUGCUUUCUGACUUUGUUCUCUGCUCACAGCAAAAGUCCCCUCGCGAUCUACUGCAGGGGCAAGCUGCAACAAUCUUCUACGACAGAACGUACCAUAGCGGAUGCUCUGGCCCGAGAAUUGGCUGUACCCUUAGAGACAAAACUCUGCAAGCUGGAAGGGAAAUUCUCUUAGUCAUUGGACCCAUCCUAUCAAACGGUGCGGCGUAACCCUUAUGAUGCUAUUCACCAAACAGCACCACUCAAUUCACCGGUGCGCGUCGGCGCUUCCGAGCAGAGCCGAUGUUUGCUGGCCUCCAUUUUAAGAAACACUCACUCAUCGGAGGAUUGAUGGCAGUCUCAACCGACGACGAUCUUAUUAUCUCUUCGAAGACCCUGAUUGACUUUCAGCCUCGCCUGGAAGUAGUAAGGCCUUUUCUAACUACGUAGUUGGAAAAACACCGAAAUAUGUCCGAGUAAAUAUCACUACAUACUACUAGUACAUAUUAGUACAUAGGAUGUUGUGCAAGCACCUAAACAAAAGCCCGAGCAUGUCCGAGACCCUCUAGUCCCCUUCCCCGGAUUUUCAGCGAUCUCAUCGAUCUCAACCAACCAUCGAUCGCAAUCAUGUGAAAAAAAAAAAAUCCUCCGACUGGGAAAGACACUAGCCACAUAGACCAGACCCCGAAGAGGGCAGUAACCGACUUUUCGCCACUUCCUGGGAGAAACAUUUCUCCACCUCUGCUUCGCUCGUUGGCUGAUGAGUUAUCAUUCUUAGCCACUAACUUCGCCAGCCUGAAACCUAUUUUGAUAUUUUGGGUCGAGCAGUGAGUGACCAACGACCCAAGGAUGCGAACUUUGGAUCCAGGAAGCACCCAGUGCACACACCAGGCGAGUCGGGAGCGGCCGAUGCGUACGUAGAUUGACAAACACUACGUAACUUUUCGAAUUAACACCAUCGUUAACUAUGUUGCCCCAUAGGGUUUUUUUUGUGGUCCAUUCUUAGUGCCAACUUAUUCAAGGUUGAUAUUCUUUCCGCGAGGUGGAUAUCAAUAUUGAAGGCCAUACGCCCAGGAAAGUAUAACGAUCUCAUAACCUCAAAUUUCAGAAGCAAGAGCCAAACGGAGCGAUUUGGUCCGUAUCCCCGGCGCAUAGUACGCGGAUAAUGAUCCCCUUCCCCCCAACUGUUGGCCUAUAGCAUAACUGGGUGGGAACGGAUGAACGGGAGUUCUUCGACUGGACCCCUUUUUGAUUGGGAGUCUGCGCUGAACGAACGAGCUCUUUGCAUUGUUUUCAACCUUUUGUGGCUCAGCGGUUAGCUGCUCUAUGUGCUUUCGCUUCAUAUAGCUAGCCACAAGCCCCCUCCCAUGUACGAAGCCUCAAGCCACCCUAUAUGAGAGCAACGUUUACUACUAUGUAGCCAUCCCCUCCCAGAUGGGGAAGGUAGUUAACCUUUUUUUUUUUUUUUUUCUUUUAUCUGCUCAUGGUCUCGGACAUCUCCUGCAAGUGCAACCCUUAUACCUAAUCCGGAGAUCCAAUCUCGUUGCCCUCCCCUACUGACUCAUCGUUGUUCUAUCCAAGUGCCUAGCUAGUAAUAAGGCAGUUAGUAUAUCUGAUGGUGGCAAAAUAAAUCGAAACCCGAAGAGCGAGCUCAAAAACGAUGCAUCAUGCAAC
rnacentral:lncRNA from 1 species